rnacentral:rRNA from 1 species
ACAGCAGUCGCCACGGUAAUACGAAGGGGGCUAGCGUUGCUCGGAAUCACUGGGAGUAAAGGGUGCGUAGGCGGGCCUUUAAGUCAGGGGUGAAAUCCUGGAGCUCAACUCCAGAACUGCCUUUGAUACUGAAGAUCUUGAGUUCGGGAGAGGUGAGUGGAACUGCGAGCGUGGAGGUGAAAUUCGUAGAUAUUCGCAAGAACACCAGUGGCGAAGGCGGCUCACUGGCCCGAUACUGACGCUGAGGCACGAAAGCGUGGGGAGCAAACAGGAUUAGAUACCCCCGUAGUCCCUGUCUCUUAUAC